GAACAUCCUCCUUUACUCGGAUCGUCCGGCACGUUCCUGCCGGUGAAGGGACCCAACA
rfam:Streptomyces albus subsp. albus strain NRRL B-2513 B2513contig5.1, whole genome shotgun sequence.